AGUCGAGCGAUACUUUUUUCUUGAGAUGGUGAAGCCGCAAGGCUGAUCUGUUGAGAGAAAAAAGAUAUAGCGGCAGACUGGUGAGUAACACGUGAGUAAUUUACCUCUAAGUCGGGGAUAGCCUUGCGAAAGCGAGGGUAAUACCCGAUGUGUCACUUGCUGCAAAAGCAGCAAGUGGUAAAGAAGGCCCGCAAGGGUUUUUGUUUAGAGAUGAGCUCGCGUCCUACCAGCUAGUUGGUAGGGUAAUGGCCUACCAAGGCUUUUGACGGGUAGCUGGCCUGAGAGGGUGGUCAGCCACAUGGGGACUGAGACACUGCCCCAACUCCUACGGGAGGCUGCAGUCGAGGAUAUUUAGCAAUGGGGGAAACCCUGACUAUGUGACGCCGCGCGAGGGAUGAAGGCCUUCGGGUUGUAAACCUCUUUCGAUAGGGAAGAAAACCUGUUCUUAACGGAACAGACUGACGGUACCUAGAGAAGAAGCCACGGCCAACUCUGUGCCAGCCGCCGCGGUAAUACA
rnacentral:rRNA from 1 species